rnacentral:RNase_P_RNA from 1 species
UGGGUUGGUUGGGCGAUCGCGGGGUGCGCUGCACCCUGAGGAAAGUCCGCACUCCCCAGAGCACGGUGCUGGCUAACAGCCAGGCGGGGUAACCCGACGGAAAGUGCCACAGAGAACAGAGUGCCCGGCCCCGCCGGGUGAGGGUGAAAAGGUGCGGUAAGAGCGCACCAGCGCGUUUGGUGACAGGCGCGGCUUGGUAAACCCCACCGGGAGCAAGGUCAAGCAGGCGCAAGGGGCGGCUCGUCCCGUUUGAGCGCCGGGUAGACCGCAAGAGGCGGUGUGUAAACAUCGUCCCAGAUAGAUGAUCGUCACCGGAAACGGCACAGAAUGCGGCUUAUAGGCUGGCCCGGGUG